rnacentral:sRNA from 1 species
GGCUCUGUCUUUUGAAGCUGAAUAGCAAUAUUAUUUAAAAUUGAUAUUAGUUCAGUGUUUUGGUGACUGAGUAGGAAAUGGGUGGGGUGUUUUGCAGGCUGAAUUGGCCAGUCCACUGAACGAGGCUGAUGGGCAUCGGGGCAUAAUCCCAGCCAAUACCAGGCUCCACACCACGCUCUCAGUCAGCCUGGGGAAUGAGACCCAAACUGCUCAUACAGAAUUACGCAUUUCCACUUCUAAUGGUGAAAGCCACGUGGUACAUCCCAGCAUUCACAACCUCUCCAGUUCCAUCUGCAUCCCUAUUGUGCCUCCCAAAGAUGUCCCUGUGGAUCUGCACUUGAAGGCAUUCGUGGGUUACAGAAGCAGCACCCAGUUUCAUGUAUUUGAAUUGACAAGACAGCUCCCUCGAUUCUCCAUGUAUGCGCUGACCAGCCUGGACCCUGCCAGUGAGCCAAUCAGUUAUGUUAACUUUACCAUUGCAGAACGGGCACAGAGGGUUGUCGUAUGGCUCGGUCAGAACUUUCUGUUACCAGAAGACACUCACAUUCAGAACGCUCCAUUUCAAGUGUGUUUCACAUCUUUACGGAAUGGUGGCCACCUGCAUAUAAAAAUAAAACUUAGUGGAGAGAUCACUAUAAAUACUGAUGAUAUUGAUUUGGCUGGUGAUAUCAUCCAGUCAAUGGCAUCAUUUUUUGCUAUUGAAGACCUUCAAGUAGAAGCGGAUUUUCCUGUCUAUUUUGAGGAAUUACAAAAGGUGCUAGUUAAG